UCCCUGGUGGUCCAGUGGUUAAGACUUGGCACUUUCAUUGCCGCAGCCCAGGUUUAAUCCCUGGUGGGGGAA
rfam:Ovis aries breed Texel chromosome 18, whole genome shotgun sequence.